UUUGAUGUCGUAGUUCUACGACACCUGUUCCCAUUCCGAACACAGAAGUUAAGCCCACCAGCGCCGAUGGUACUGCUAACGCGGGAGAGUAGGCCGCCGCCAGUU
rnacentral:rRNA from 1 species